AGGACGAACGCUGGCGGCGUGCUUAACGACAUGCAAGUCGAGCGGAAAGGCCCUUCGGGGUACUCGAGCGGCGAACGGGUGAGUAACACGUGAGUAAUCUGCCCCUAGCUCUGGGAUAGCUCCGGGAAACCGGGAUUAAUACCGGAUACGACCACUUUAGACAUCUGUUGUGGUGGAAAGAAUUUUGGCUAGGGAUGAGCUCGCGGCCUAUCAGCUUGUUGGUGGGGUAACGGCCUACCAAGGCGACGACGGGUAGCCGGCCUGAGAGGGCGACCGGCCACACUGGGACUGAGACACGGCCCAGACUCCUACGGGAGGCAGCAGUGGGGAAUAUUGCGCAAUGGGCGAAAGCCUGACGCAGCGACGCCGCGUGGGGGAUGAAGGCCUUCGGGUUGUAAACCCCUUUCAGCAGGGACGAAGCGAAAGUGACGGUACCUGCAGAAGAAGCGCCGGCUAACUACGUGCCAGCAGCCGC
rnacentral:rRNA from 1 species